rnacentral:tRNA from 1 species
CGCGGGGUGGAGCAGCUUGGUAGCUCGUCGGGCUCAUAACCCGAAGGUCGUUGGUUCAAAUCCAGCCCCCGCA